rnacentral:misc_RNA from 1 species
UGUGAUUGUGAUUGUGAUUGUGAUCGUGAUCUGCUGUUAAAGUAUAUUGAUUGUAUUUGGAUCAUGGUUUGCCAUGUUGUAAACGAUGUAGGCCACUUCUUAGAGGGGCUAAUAUUGAAUUUUCAUUUUGAAUGGGUUGUUCUUUGGGUCAUUUUGGGUCUUGUUUCUUCAGUGACUGAACAUUUGUAUUUUAAGCAUGAGACAGG